rnacentral:rRNA from 1 species
UACAGAGGUCCCAAGCGUUGUUCGGAUUCACUGGGCGUAAAGGGCGCGCAGGUGGCCGGGUAAGUCUGAUGUGAAAUCCCGCAGCUUAACUGCGGAAUGGCAUUGGAUACUAUUCGGCUAGAGGGUUGGAGGGGGGACUGGAAUUCUCGGUGUAGCAGUGAAAUGCGUAGAUAUGCGGAGGAACACCGAUGGCGAAGGCAAUCCCCUGGGCCUGCACUGACGCUCAUGCACGAAAGCGUGGGGAGCAAACAGG